rnacentral:rRNA from 1 species
AUUGAACGCUGGCGGCAGGCCUAACACAUGCAAGUCGAGCGGAUGAAGGGAGCUUGCCCCCUUAUUUAGCGGCGGACGGGUGAGUAAUGCCUAGGAAUCUGCCUGGUAGUGAGGGAUAACGUUCCGAAAGGAACGCUAAUACCGCGUACGUCCUACGGGAGAAAGCAGGGGACCUUCGGGCCUUGCGCUAUCAGAUGAGCCUAGGUCGGAUUAGCUAGCUGGUGAGGUAAUGGCUCACCAAGGCGACGAUCCGUAACUGGUCUGAGAGGAUGAUCAGUCACACUGGAACUGAGACACGGUCCAGACUCCUACGGGGGGCAGCAGUGGGGAAUAUUGGACAAUGGGCGAAAGCCUGAUCCAGCCAUGCCGCGUGUGUGAAGAAGGUCUUCGGAUUGUAAAGCACUUUAAGUUGGGAGGAAGGGCAGUAAGUUAAUACCUUGCUGUUUUGACGUUGCCGACAGAAUAAGCACCGGCUAACUUCGUGCCAGCCGCCGCAGUAACAC